rnacentral:tRNA from 1 species
CUUUAGUAAGUAUAGGUUUUGUACAUUUGCCUUCCAAGCAAAAAGACUGCUAAGUUCAGACUAAAGA